rnacentral:rRNA from 1 species
UCAUUCUCAUUGUUCCAACACUCUUGAUAAUCAGACUUUAACACCAGAAACAUGAUAUCACAACACAAUCAAUAUCAUGUUUAACCGAGUAUCUUCUCAUGUUUCAUAUCUGUGAUUUAUCUCACAAAGGUAAUCCAUGCUCAAAAUCCACACUGGAUUCAAGGCAGAUUAACAACAGAUUCAAAAUAGAUUCACCAGAAAGAACAACGAAUUAGUAUUCUUAUGACACAUUUUGUGGAUAUCACCGAGGAAGCUCUCAUGUUUAACCGAGGAAGUUAUCAUGUUUAACCGAGGAAGCUCUCAUGUUUAACCGAGGAAGUUAUCAUGUUUAACCGAGGAAGUUAUCAUGUUUAACCGAGGAAGUUAUCAUGUUUAGACAAAAAACAUGCCUAAAAUCAAUGAAUUAGAACGACUCUAAGUUUUUAAGUUUUUAAGAAAAACAAGAAAAGAUAAGGCUUUUAAUGCGUGCGAAUAUUCAGGAACUGUGGAUAACUCAACAAAACCAGCAACGAUGAUGGUUCCUUACCAUAAAUCUGUCCCCCGAUGAUUAUUACCCGCAAGCUAAAACAAACAUCAUCAAUCAUUAAAACUCAUAACUUUCAAUAACAUAAAAUCAUCAAAAAAAUAUUUGAUGCCUUAUGUAUCUCAAUUUUCAAGACCAUAAAUUUGUCCCUAGUUAACUUUAACUUAUUGAAAUAAAUAUAAUAUUCGUGCGUACUGAUCCUAAUGUCACAUCGCAAAAAUUCCGCUUCCUCGCUCACUCAGUCGCUACGCUCCUGCCGUUCGGCUGCGGCGAGCGGUAUCUCCUUUCUCAAAACCAGAGAGAUUCAGAUCAUAUGAUCCGUUAUUUGAUCCUUUUUGGAUCUUCCACUAAGAAGCCCUGAAUCGCGCUCUGCCGCUUCGUUCGAUACAACCAUGAGGGAAACCAUGCGAAAUGAAAAAAAUCGCUUAAAAUGCGAUUCAGAGCGUUUAGGGAGGUUCUGUUAGUUCUCCUGCAUUGCGCCCGUAGUUCGCUAACGCUCACACGCGCAGUACAGCGCCCCGCCAUGCUGCAAUGCACCAGGGCGGGGUAAACUCGCUUGCGCUCGCGCUAACUGCGGCAUUCUGCGGCGCAAAUCAGCAUAAUCAUGGCCUGCUGGUCAGUUGGGCUUUGCAGGGUGAAGGGAUGGCCUGUGCACCCUGGUACGUUCGUCAGCGGCUGCGCCGCGCUUCGGGGCGAUGUGACUCCUGUGCUGCUCUGGUAUUUUCGUUCGCCCCUUCCAUCCGCUUACGCGGAUUAAAAAACGUGAUAACAAUCACUUAUCGAGUAAAAAAACGGGAGAAAACUUGCAAAUACGACUUAAAGGUCGUAUUAUUGUUUCAUCGAAAGGGGAAUGGCCCCUCUCACAAUAGCCCAGCAGGGCAGGAGAUUUAAAAAGAUG